rnacentral:tRNA from 1 species
GCGCCUGUGGCUCAAAGGGGUAGGGCGCCAGGCCUAUAUGCCGGAGGUGGCUGGUUCAAACCCAGCCAUGGCCA